rnacentral:misc_RNA from 1 species
AUAAAGAAAACUAAUACAAAAUUUGAUAGAGUAAGGAACUUAAGCGAAUGGAAAGAAAAUAAUCUAAAAUUGUAUUAAGAACUUGAGAUUACAGUAAUGGAAGUACACGAGCAAUUCUCUUACUCUCCUCUCUAAUUCUCAAUGCAAAUAUAGCAAGAAAAGGGGGAAAAAACCUUCCAAACACUCUAGGGAGAAUGCUUGGCCCAGCAAUAAUGCCAAAAUAAAAGAGCUAAGCCCUCCCGCCAUUAAGAAUUUUGCCCCCAAGUUAGUAUUAUAGUUGGAAAAUACAAUUACUCUCUCAUGCCCCCCAUUCUACCUUUUCUCUCCCAUAUAUAAUUCUCGUAGCUGUUGCAUCACAUGCACCCGAGAAUUGCUCCAAAGGAGUUGAGCUAAGCUGGCCAACCAACUGCAAUCCUUCCAGAACUUUCUUGCUUCAUCUAGAAUACACCAUAUCCCUAACAAUAGUACCCGCUCAAAAUAGCCUUGUCCUCAAGGCUGUAUGGGAGACACCAAAACAAUUCAAGCAAUUUUUGGUAUAAGAACUGAGUAAAACCCCAAAACUUGUGGUGAUGUGAAGCUAACACAAAAAAAAUAUAGGGAAGAGUGCUUCAUCCAAGUUCCUGGAUAGAUUUGCAGAUUCAAAACCAAUACAGCUAUCUUCAUGCCGAUUUAUUGACCCCACAAAAAUCAGCAACAUAUACUCACACAUACAACAUUCAGAAACUUCGGUCCUUGCAUCUUAGUUUCAAAAGCUUCAGCAAAUGUAAUAGAACCAUAAAGCCACAUUAUUCUUUCAUGUAAUACAUAAUCAUCCUAGAAAAAGAAAACCACAACCCUGUUAAUUGCAAUACUAUAAGCUGAAUUGGAAAGAAAACCACAACCCUGUUAAUUGCAAUACUAUAAGCUGAAUUGGACAAAGACUGUUUGUACCUUAAUAAAAUUUUCAACAACCCACAAGAGAAAUCUAGAUACAUUGUCAAUUAAACGCAUCCCUGCAGUAUAAGCAAACACAACAGGGGGCCCAACAAAUGACAAAAUGGCAGUAACAGAAUGAACCCACCACUUGCUAUUGCUAACAUGAAAUAUCCAAGAAGAAUGAACCAAAUACCCUAUCAGCACUGUAAUUGGGUGUGUUGUAGCAAUUUCCCUCAUUAACAUGGAAUUAAAUUGAGAUUGAGAAAUGGUACCAUUUAAAAAUAUCCAUAGCUUCAUUUGGGGAAUGAGCAGAGAUGAUUCUUGUUGGCCACCACAUUGCCUCCAGUUUGUUGGCAGUACUGAGUUUUUAUUGUUGGCUUGUGAUGACUUGUUUGGUAGAAGAAAUGUGGAAUACAAUCGAAGAAAGUGGAAAAUUAGUGUUGUAGAUGGUGGCGAAGGUCUAAGCAAAGGAAGGUAUUGGAAUUGUUAAGUGGCUUGGAUGAGGAGGUUUUGGAGGUGUCCUAACUAAGUGGGUCGGGCUGGUGGGCAUUGGGCCAACUAUCAGACUUGCGCCAUUGAAACCCACUAGCCUCAAACCAAUGACAUUAAGGCUUAAUCCAAGUUUGCCACCACCUUUCAUCGUCCUCAAUGAUUUUC